CAGGCCUAACACAUGCAAGUCGCGGGGCAUCGGGAGAGAAGCUUGCUUUUCUUGCCGGCGACCGGCGCACGGGUGAGUAACGCGUAUCCAACCUUCCCCUCAGUAGGGCAUAGCCCGUAGAAAUGCGGAUUAAUACCCUAUGCUGUCCGAUGAGGACAUCUGAGCUGGACGAAAGGUUUACCGCUGAGGGAUGGGGAUGCGUCUGAUUAGGUAGUCGGCGGGGUAACGGCCCACCGAGCCAUCGAUCAGUAGGGGUUCUGAGAGGAAGGUCCCCCACACUGGUACUGAGACACGGACCAGACUCCUACGGGAGGCAGCAGUGAGGAAUAUUGGUCAAUGGGCGAGAGCCUGAACCAGCCAAGUAGCGUGCAGGAUGACGGCCCUACGGGUUGUAAACUGCUUUUAUGCGGGGAUAAAGUGAGGGACUUGUCCCUUUUUGCAGGUACCGCAUGAAUAAGGACCGGCUAAUUCCGUGCCAGCAGCCGCGGUAAUACGGAAGGUCCGGGCGUUAUCCGGAUUUAUUGGGUUUAAAGGGAGCGCAGGCCGGUGUGUAAGCGUGACGUCAAAUACAGCCGCUCAACGGUUGUCCGCGUCGCGAACUGCAUGCCUUGAGUACGCUGCAAGUGGGCGGAAUUCGUGGUGUAGCGGUGAAAUGCUUAGAUAUCACGAAGAACUCCGAUUGCGAAGGCAGCCCGCUGUUGCGUCACUGACGCUGAGGCUCGAAGGUGCGGGUAUCGAACAGGAUUAGAUACCCUGGUAGUCCGCACUGUAAACGAUGGACACCCGCUGUGUGGCCUUUUUGGUUGCGCGGCCAAGCGAAAGCAUUAAGUGUCCCACCUGGGGAGUACGCCGGCAACGGUGAAACUCAAAGGAAUUGACGGGGGCCCGCACAAGCGGAGGAACAUGUGGUUUAAUUCGAUGAUACGCGAGGAACCUUACCCGGGCUCGAACGGCAGAGGAACAAUCCAGAGAUGGUGCGGCCCUUCGGGGCUUCUGUCGAGGUGCUGCAUGGUUGUCGUCAGCUCGUGCCGUGAGGUGUCGGCUCAAGUGCCAUAACGAGCGCAACCCUUGCCGUCAGUUACCAUCAAGUAGUGUUGGGGACUCUGGCGGGACUGCCACCGCAAGGUGUGAGGAAGGGGGGGAUGACGUCAAAUCAGCACGGCCCUUACGUCCCGGGCGACACACGUGUUACAAUGGCGGCCACAGAGGGGCACUACCUGGCGACAGGAUGGGAAUCUCGAAAAGCCGUCUCAGUCCGGAUCGGAGUCUGCAACCCGACUCCGUGAAGCUGGAUUCGCUAGUAAUCGCGCAUCAGCCAUGGCGCGGUGAAUACGUUCCCGG
rnacentral:rRNA from 1 species